AGGGUAUACCGAGUGGUCGCGCUUUUGGUAACUAAAACUUAAAAGUGAGGAAAGUCCGAGCUCCAAAGAGCAGGGUAACGGCUAACAGCCGCCGAGGGUAACCUUAGGGAUAGUGCGACAGAAAGUAACCGCCGCAAGGCAAGGGUGGAAAGGCGAGGUAAGAGCUCACCAGAAGUCAGGAGACUGACCUGCUACGUAAACCCUACCCGGAGCAACACCGUGAUGGAAACAGAAUGCUUGCUCGGCAGUUUUCAGAGGUGGCAGUGAGCUUAAGAGUAAUUUUAAGCCAAGAUAGAUGACCACAUAAACAGAACUCGGCUUAUAGGUAUACUCUCUUU
rnacentral:RNase_P_RNA from 1 species